rnacentral:rRNA from 1 species
UACGGAGGGUGCAAGCGUUAAUCGGAAUUACUGGGCGUAAAGGGUGCGUAGGUGGUUCGCUAAGUCCGUUGUGAAAGCCCCGAGCUCAACUUGGGAAUUGCAGUGGAUACUGGCGAGCUAGAGUGCGGUAGAGGAAGGUGGAAUUCCCGGUGUAGCGGUGAAAUGCGUAGAGAUCGGGAGGAACACCAGUGGCGAAGGCGGCUUUCUGGUCUGUAACUGACGCUGAGGCGCGAAAGCGUGGGGAGCAAACAGGG